GACGUAGGGGGCCAGCGUUGUUCGGAAUUACUGGGCGUAAAGCGCACGUAGGCGGAUUUGUAAGUCAGGGGUGAAAUCCCGGGGCUCAACCUCGGAACUGCCUUUGAUACUGCAAAUCUCGAGUCCGGAAGAGGUGAGUGGAAUUCCUAGUGUAGAGGUGAAAUUCGUAGAUAUUAGGAAGAACACCAGUGGCGAAGGCGGCUCACUGGUCCGGUACUGACGCUGAGGUGCGAAAGCGUGGGGAGCAAACAGG
rnacentral:rRNA from 1 species